rnacentral:pre_miRNA from 1 species
AAUAAAUGACACCGUUGACUUUUUCUCACAUGUUUAACUAUUCGUCUUAUUCAAAAAAAUUUACGUAAUUAUAAUUUAUUUUGCUAUGAGUUGUUUUAUCACUCAUAAUAUUUUAAGUGUGAUUUAUAUCUUAUAUAUAUGCAUAAAUUUUUUUUGAAUAAGACGAAUAGUCAAACAUGUGAGAAAAAGUUAACGGCCUCAUCUAUU